rnacentral:rRNA from 1 species
CCGAACACAGAAGUUAAGCCUCUUAACGCCGAUGGUACUACGAUGGAAACGUCGUGGGAGAGUAGGUAGUCGCCAAAC